rfam:TPA: Bos taurus chromosome X, whole genome shotgun sequence.
UGGCUCAGAGGUUAAAGCGUCUGCCUGCAAUGCAGGAGACCUAAGUUCAAUCCCUGG